UGGGGAAUUUUGGACAAUGGGCGCAAGCCUGAUCCAGCCAUGCCGCGUGCGGGAAGAAGGCCUUCGGGUUGUAAACCGCUUUUGUCAGGGAAGAAAUCUUCUGAGUUAAUACCUCGGGAGGAUGACGGUACCUGAAGAAUAAGCACCGGCUAACUACGUGCCAGCAGCCGCGGUAAUACGUAGGGUGCAAGCGUUAAUCGGAAUUACUGGGCGUAAAGCGUGCGCAGGCGGUUUUGUAAGACAGAGGUGAAAUCCCCGGGCUCAACCUGGGAACUGCCUUUGUGACUGCAAGGCUUGAGUGCGGCAGAGGGGGGAUGGAAUUCCGCGUGUAGCAGUGAAAUGCGUAGAUAUGCGGAGGAACACCGAUGGCGAAGGCAAUCCCCUGGGCCUGCACUGACGCUCAUGCACGAAAGCGUGGGGAGCAAACAGGAUUAGAUACCCUGGUAGUCCACGCCCUAAACGAUGUCAACUGGUUGUUGGGAAGGUUCCUUCUCAGUAACGUAGCUAACGCGUGAAGUUGACCGCCUGGGGAGUACGGCCGCAAGGUUGAAACUUAAAUGAAUUGACGGGGUCAUAGCUGUUU
rnacentral:rRNA from 1 species